rnacentral:rRNA from 1 species
GAUGAACGCUGGCGGCGUGCCUAAUACAUGCAAGUCGAGCGACCAGACGAGGAGCUUGCUCCUCUGACGUUAGCGGCGGACGGGUGAGUAACACGUGGAUCACCUACCUAUAAGACUGGGAUAACUUCGGGAAACCGGAGCUAAUACCGGAUAAUAUAUUGAACCGCAUGGUUCAAUAGUGAAAGACGGUUUUGCUGUCACUUAUAGAUGGAUCCGCGCCGCAUUAGCUAGUUGGUAAGGUAACGGCUUACCAAGGCAACGAUGCGUAGCCGACCUGAGAGGGUGAUCGGCCACACUGGAACUGAGACACGGGCCAGACUCCUACGGGAGGCAGCAGUAGGGAAUCUUCCGCAAUGGGCGAAAGCCUGACGGAGCAACGCCGCGUGAGUGAUGAAGGUCUUCGGAUCGUAAAACUCUGUUAUUAGGGAAGAACAAAUGGGUAAGUAACUAUGCACGUCUUGACGGUACCUAAUCAGAAAGCCACGGCUAACUACGUG